AUGCGGGCCCUUGACCUGCGCGCUGACGCGGUUGGCCUCUCACCUGAGGAGUGGCUCACUAGGUACGACUUGGAGGACCAGCUCUCGGUCAUUUACACCGACAAGGAGGCCUACUGGCGCUUGUGCGGUGCCCAGAAAUGGGUUUUGAAAGGUGAUGCGAACACGGCCUACUUCUAGGCCAUAGCAAAUGGUCGGCGUAGACGCAAUACCAUUCCUCUCCUUUGGGAUGGUGAUUCUCUGCUGUAGUCCCCCCGGGACAUCAGGGCUCAUGUCGAUGGAUUCUAUAGGGCCCUUUUCUCUGCCCCCCCCCUCGGGGAGGCUUAUCUUUGGCCCGCAACUGCUGGUCCGGCCGCCAGCUUGUCUCCGAUGAGGAGAACGCGGCCCUUACGGCCCCCUUCUCAGAGGGCGAGGUCUGGGAUGCCAUUCGCGACAUGA
rnacentral:rRNA from 1 species